CACGGGUGAGUAACACGUAUGCAAUCCACCUGUAACAGGGGAGUAACCCGGAGAAAUCCGGACUAAUACCCCAUAAUAUGGGCGCUCCGCAUGGAGAGCCCAUUAAAGAGAGCAAUUUUGGUUACAGACGAGCAUGCGCUCCAUUAGCCAGUUGGCGGGGCAACGGCCCACCAAAGCGACGAUGGAUAGGGGUUCUGAGAGGAAGGUCCCCCACAUUGGAACUGAGACACGGUCCAA
rnacentral:rRNA from 1 species